GGACAGAAAGACCCUAUGAAGCUUUACUGUAGUUUGGAAUUGGGUUCGGGCUCUUCUUGCGCAGCCUAGGUGGGAGGCUAUGUAGAUAAACUUUUGGGUUUAUUGGAGCCAACAGUGAGAGACCACUCUAGAGGAGCUAGAAUUCUAAUGGCGUUCCUUGAAGCAGGACGCUUGACAGUUUCAGAUGGGCAGUUUGACUGGGGCGGUCACCUCCUAAAAGGUAACGGAGGUGUGCAAAGGUUCCCUCAGGCUGGACGGAAAUCAGCCGUAGAGUGUAAAGGCAGAAGGGAGCUUGACUGCAAGACCUACAAGUCGAGCAGGGGCGAAAGCCGGCCUUAGUGAUCCGACGGUUCCGAGUGGAAGGGCCGUCGCUAAACGGAUAAAAGUUACUCUAGGGAUAACAGGCUGA
rnacentral:rRNA from 1 species